CCUAGUAGAGUAAUGGCAUGCAUAAGCAAAUUCAUGUUGAAAAAUGAUCAAAUAGUGUGUAAAAACAAAAAUAAAGCACAACAUCAAAUUAAUAUGAAGUAAUCAAAGAAAAAAAUAUCAAAAAAAUAAUUCACAGGAAAAUUAUGUUAAAUAUCUACUACUAAUUGUAUGACCAUAAAUAUAAACAUAAAAUGAUUAUCAGAAGGAUAAUUAUGGAAACUCAAGUUUGUUGGCUCUAUGGGUUGUAAAUUUUAUCAUUCACUCUGAAAUAAGUGAU
rnacentral:lncRNA from 1 species